AAAAAAGUAAAAUUCGUCGUUUGAUACCAUGGUCAGGAUUUAAAGACAUAUAAGUGAGGGCCACACAGGACCCAACACACAUUUCUACCCGGAGUCAACAAGCACACCACAAUGAAGAUUGCCGUCCUUGCCUUGAUCCUGAUGGCGGCCAUUAUGGCACUCCUUGUCCCCGCCAACGCUGAACCCGGGGGUUUCAAAGGUGGCUUUAGAGGAGGCCACGGAUUUGGAGGCGGCGGCUUCAGCAAAGGCUUCGGAGGUCAUAGAGGAGGUAUCGGGGGAUUCAGAGGCGGCUUCGGAGGCGGAUUCAGCAGAGGUGGUUUUGGUGGUAGAUUUAAGAAGGGCUAAUUUAUCCCUCCUUUUCUCCUCACGACUUCCUCCUCCCCUCCUUCCCUGCAAGUCUCUCCUUUACUCUCCACUCAACGUUUCCUUACUACGGAAGAUUUGCCUUUGCUCAGGAUAUUCUUCCAAUGAUGGGCGUUGGUGGUACUCUUGGUACGUGUGGCAUAAUUAGAUGAUAACAAUUAGCGUUCUCUCCAAAACUGUAACUCACCAGUAUAUGAGAAAACAAAAUUGUACGCAUUUUUACAAAUAUUUUCUCAAAUAAAUGAUAACAAUUUC